UACGUAGGGGGCGAGCGUUGUCCGGAUUUAUUGGGCGUAAAGGGCGCGUAGGCGGCCUGGCAAGUGGAAGGUGAAAUCCCUCGGCUUAACCGAGGAACUGCCCUCCAAACUGCUUGGCUUGAGUCCGGGAGAGGUGAGUGGAAUUCCCAGUGUAGCGGUGAAAUGCGUAGAUAUUGGGAGGAACACCAGUGGCGAAGGCGGCUCACUGGACCGGAACUGACGCUGAGGCGCGAAAGCGUGGGGAGCAAACGGG
rnacentral:rRNA from 1 species